rnacentral:rRNA from 1 species
UACAGGGGGUGCAAACGUUGCUCGGAAUCAUUGGGCGUAAAGCGCACGUAGGCGGUUUGUUAUGUCGGAUGUGAAAGCCCUUGGCUCAACUAAGGAAGUGCAUCCGAAACUGGCAAGCUGGAGUACUAAAGAGGGUCGCGGAAUUCCCGGUGUAGAGGUGAAAUUCGUAGAUAUCGGGAGGAACACCGGUGGCGAAGGCGGCGACCUGGGUAGAUACUGACGCUGAGGUGCGAAAGCGUGGGAGCAAACAGG